UACAGAGGGUGCGAGCGUUGUCCGGAAUCACUGGGCGUAAAGGGCGCGUAGGCGGCCUGAUAAGUAGGGGGUGAAAUCUCGCGGCUCAACUGCGAGGCUGCCUCCUAAACUGUCGGGCUCGAGCACAGUAGAGGCAGGUGGAAUUCCCAGUGUAGCGGUGAAAUGCGUAGAUAUUGGGAAGAACAUCAGUGGCGAAGGCGGCCUGCUGGGCUGUUGCUGACGCUGAGGCGCGACAGCGUGGGGAGCAAACAGG
rnacentral:rRNA from 1 species